rnacentral:rRNA from 1 species
UACAGAGGGGGCAAGCGUUGUUCGGAAUUACUGGGCGUAAAGGGCGCGUAGGCGGCCUUCUAAGUCAGACGUGAAAUCCCCGGGCUCAACCCGGGAACUGCGUCUGAGACUGGAAGGCUUGAAUCCGGGAGAGGGAUGUGGAAUUCCAGGUGUAGCGGUGAAAUGCGUAGAUAUCUGGAGGAACACCGGUGGCGAAGGCGGCAUCCUGGACCGGUAUUGACGCUGAGGCGCGAAAGCCAGGGGAGCAAACGGG